AUCCAUUUAAGGGCAUACUCCUUAGCCUUUUGUUCAAGGCUUUCUAAUUUCUGCUUCUGGCCUACCUUUCCAGCCACACAACUCACUAGUUUUGUUGGUAUGCCUACUGUUUCACUCAUUAAUUGCUUGCCUUCAAUUUUCUAAACAAUUCCUUUUGGUUCUUUACUCUUUGCCUUAUUCAUACUUUUCUCACUGGUUUAUUUUUUUCUUCUACCCCUUCCUGCUGUUUUUCUUGUUGAAAUCUUAAUUUUUCAAGGCGCAGCAUCCCAAUAUAAACUUUUCUAUACCCUCUCACAGUUAGAAAUGUUCUUUGGGUCUUGAUUUUUACUCCUAUAUGUUUAUCCCAUUUUACUUUGUAUUCAUUUUUGUAU
rnacentral:lncRNA from 1 species